GAUGAACGCUGGCGGCGUGCCUAAUACAUGCAAGUCGAGCGAACGGACGAGAAGCUUGCUUCUCUGAUGUUAGCGGCGGACGGGUGAGUAACACGUGGAUAACCUACCUAUAAGACUGGGAUAACUUCGGGAAACCGGAGCUAAUACCGGAUAAUAUUUUGAACCGCAUGGUUCAAAAGUGAAAGACGGUCUUGCUGUCACUUAUAGAUGGAUCCGCGCUGCAUUAGCUAGUUGGUAAGGUAACGGCUUACCAAGGCAACGAUGCAUAGCCGACCUGAGAGGGGGAUCGGCCACACUGGAACUGAGACACGGUCCAGACUCCUAGGGGAGGCAGCAGUAGGGAAUCUUGCGAAAGGGGCGAAAGCCUGACGGAGAAACGCAGCGUGAGUGAUGAAGGUCUUCGGAUCGUAAAACUCUGUUAUUAGGGAAGAACAUAUGUGUAAGGAACUGUGCACAUCGUGACGGUAACUAAUCAGAAAGCGACGGCUAACUACGUG
rnacentral:rRNA from 1 species